UGAGGAAUAUUGGUCAAUGGCCGAGAGGCUGAACCAGCCAAGUCGCGUGAGGGAUGAAGGUUCUAUGGAUCGUAAACCUCUUUUAUAAGGAAGUAAAGAUGACCACGUGUGGGUUUUUGGUUAUGUACCUUAUGAAUAAGGAUGCGGCUAACUCCGUGCCAGCAGCCGCGGUAAUACGGAGGAUCCGAGCGUUAUCCGGAUUUAUUGGGUUUAAAGGGUGCGUAGGCGGCCUUUUAAGUCAGCGGUGAAAGUCUGUGGCUCAACCAUAGAAUUGCCGUUGAAACUGGGAGGCUUGAGUAUGUUUGAGGCAGGCGGAAUGCGUGGUGUAGCGGUGAAAUGCUUAGAUAUCACGCAGAACCCCGAUUGCGAAGGCAGCCUGCCAAGCCAUUACUGACGCUGAUGCACGAAAGCGUGGGGAUCAAACAGGAUUAGAUACC
rnacentral:rRNA from 1 species